UUAGGAAUCUUCCACAAUGGGCGAAAGCCUGAUGGAGCGACGCCGCGUGAGGGAUGAAGGCCUUAGGGUUGUAAACCUCUAAAAGAGGGACGAUAAUGACGGUACCUCUUGAAUAGCACCGGCUAACUCCGUGCCAGCAGCCGCGGUAAUACGGAGGGUGCAAGCGUUAUCCGGAAUCACUGGGCGUAAAGGGCGCGUAGGCGGUCUGUUAAGUCCGAUGUUAAAUCCCGGGGCUCAACCCCGGAUAAGCGUUGGAUACUGGCAGGCUAGACGGUUGGAGAGGCGAGUGGAAUUACCAGUGUAGCGGUGGAAUGCGUAGAUACUGGUAGGAACACUCAUUGCGAAGGCAGCUCGCUGGACAACACGUGACGCUGAGGCGCGAAAGUGUGGGGAGCAAACC
rnacentral:rRNA from 1 species